rnacentral:lncRNA from 1 species
CGGGCCGGGUCUUGAAUCAAUACCCGAAUACACUGAUUCAACCGCCGCCAGAUCCCUUCCUUUUGUGGCUCGUUUCCACGGCAGGGCGACACGCAAGCACACACAGUACUAUAUAUAACAAAAAUAAUCCAAGCACUCAGAAACUCAGGAUUGAUUGACAGAUUUCUUGGUUUAGUUUAGGAUACGGAUUGAUUGACAGAUAUCUUGGUUUAGAUACGACGCUGUUUUCCUGCUCCCUCUCUCCAAAUUUGCAUCUCCAUCAACCACUCUCGGUUUCUUCAAAACUUCAUCUAGCUUCUGAUUCUCUGAAUCUCAAUUUUUGACUUCUUCCUCAUCAAUUUUCCUAGUCCAGAUGCAUAUAUGAUGUAUACACAAUAUUAUGCCUUUAAUUUUCAGUUUCAGGGAGUGCCCAGAUUCGUGAUUAAAUUCAGGAGUGGAGCAAUUGAAGGAAAGCCCUAUUUUUUUUCUUUGUUAUCUGGGGUAAUUUUUCUGGAAAUUUUUAGUCCAUUACUGAAG